UUUAUUAUUAAAUUAUUAUGUAAUUUAUGUAUAUAUUUAUUGUAUCAUAAUCUAUUUGAUUCUUUUUUUAGCUGACUCAAAAUCAUGCAUGAUGAUGCUGUUUGGGCCCCCUGGUUGUACAUAGGAAGUGGACUCCUCGAGAAGAUGAAAGGUCUGCUUUACAUCAUUUUCAAUGAAAGUACAAGUACUUUGAGAAGUAGGAGAAGCUAAGCAACAGAACAGAAUUCAUUUGGGUCAUUGAUGUCUAGAUUAUAUAGUGGAUUCAUAGAUUGUCAUAUUGAUUUAUGUGCAUAUGAGCACAGAGGAGCAGUAGUCAAUGAAUAAUUUUGUGAUGAGAGCUUGUUACCAAAUGAAAGGAAAGUACAGUAUUGACAAUGAUUGAUAUCACUGGUGAACAUGUAUGUCAUGUAGGUGUGAAUGUCCUGCAAAAAAGAACUGAUAUCAAAUUACCAUUCACAGUGAACAUGGUGAAGAAUAACCAAUACCAUGAAUACAGGACAUAGAAGACUACCUCACAAAUAUGGGAAUUUUACAAAAAAUACAACAUUUAAAUUUACAAAGAAGACAUUUAUUUUGACAUUCAUGGACUUUGAAAGUAAAGAAAUUAGAAUGUGAAUAAAAAUCCUUGGAAAUAAAAUUUUGAACUUUGAAGAAGAUUGAAGAUUAUGUUUGUUCUAAGAAAGUUUUAAGAAAACAGAUACAUUCAAAACUGUAAAAAGGAAACAAUACAAUAUUCACAAUUACUCUUGAGAUCAAUUACUCUUGAUAUAUAAUUAAAAGAUCAUAUAAAAGUAAAGAAAUUUGGUUGAAUUGCCAAUGAGAAAAAUAUCCACCAGAGUUCAAAUGAUGUGAUAGUGAGCAAUUAUAGGUCACCAUAUGUCCUCCAACAAUGAAAAAAACCCAACUAUAUAGUGUGCUAUGAAAAGGUUUGGAUAUGACAAAUAGAGAAAACUAAGAGCCUUAUUUUAACAAGUUAAUAUAUGAAAGCAAAAUAUGAACCAAAGACAAGCACUGAAAUACUUAUGAUUAUUGUUGAUUUACUCUUGAAUAUUCAAGUAGAAUGUUUAAAAAGAUUUUAAAUCAGAGUUAUCAUCAAUAUUCAACUUGUUAAACAACAAGUCACUGUAUGACAGAAAAUUCUAUGCCAAAAACCUUGAAUGUAUUGCAUCAGAAACAAAUUUUAGAUAGAACACUAGGAGACUAUAUAAGGAAAUGCAGAUAAAAAGUAUCAUCACCUUAAAAUAAAGUAUAGCAUUUUGUCAUUGACAGUUCCAUCAAAAGUUUCAGCAAUAUAACUGUUACAUAAAAAUCAAACCAUAAAGGUAUUUUUUUUCAAAAUAUCUCUAUAUAAUAAUAUGCAUAAUAUUAAUAGACGUUAUACGUCUGUGGUACAAAAAAUCCGUAUUACGGACGUGGUACUAAACAUCCGUAUUACGGACGUAGCAUUAUAAAUCCGUAUUACGGACGUUUAACGGAUGUUUUACGGUUUGAUACGGACGUAUUAUGGAUGGGAAGCAACGGACGUUUUACGUCCGUGGUACUAUUCGUCCGUAGGUUUUCCGUAUAAUACGGACGUAUUACGGAUUUUUUACGGACGUAAUACGUCCGUAGCUAUUUUACCU